rnacentral:rRNA from 1 species
AUUGAACGCUGGCGGCAGGCCUAACACAUGCAAGUCGAGCGACCGGCGCACGGGUGAGUAACACGUAUCCAACCUGCCCUUGACUCGGGGAAAGCCUUGCGAAAGAAAGAUUAAUACCCGAUGUAAAGGAUGGGGAUGCGUUCCAUUAUGUUGUUGGUGAGGUAAGGGCUCACCAAGCCUUCGAUGGAUAGGGGUUCUGAGAGUAAGGUCCCCCACAUUGGAACUGAGCCCCGGUCCAAACUCCUACGAGAGGCAGCAGUUAGGAAUAUUGGUCAAUGGGCGUUAGCCUGAACCAGCCACGUAGCGUGAAGGAUGAAGGCUUAUGGGUCGUAAACUUCUUUUAUAUAAGAAUAUGUAUUAUAUGAAUAAGGAUCGGCUAACUCCGUGCCAGCAGCCGCGGUAAUAC